ensembl:processed_transcript
UAGGUGGCCCAAUUCAGUCCCUGUGACACCCCUCCCCCUAAGUGCUAUUAGUCCCACUUCGCUUCUACUGGCUAAAACUGAAAAACUCUGCCUUCGACCCCAGGCCCUGCUGAGAUUCCCCCUAGGAGGCUAGAGCUGGGUUCUUUCGAGGCAGCUCUCAGCAGACCCCCACAUGGGGUGUCCCAGCGCAGGGCCAAGGAUGAGGGCACUCACCUCUGGGAAGGCCCCUUUGGCGAAGACCAUCAUCAGUGAUGUCUUCCCGCAGCCCCCGUCGCCCACCAGGACCACCUUGACCGAGUGCCCGCUCUGCGGCGCCUCUUCUCCCGCAGCCUGGGACGCGUUCAUCCCUGGCUGGCGGACGGCGGUGCGCGGAGCAGCAGGCGUUGCAGAAACUGAGGCCCCGAGAGUGCAGUGACUUCUUACACUGCAGGCAGAUAGGUGGCUCAGGCAGGAGACGGGAGGAGAAGGAACUAUCCCCUCAAGAUUUAUUAACAGCUGUCCUCUAGGAGAAUGGCAGAAGGGGAGUUGGCCAGCUCUGAAGCCACAUCCCUCUGCAGGCCAAGGGACAUACUUCCUAAGGCUCUUCAAUACAGUUGUCUGGACAGAGGAUCCAAGAUGGCUGAUGAAAAAUCCCCCGGGAGGUGGGGCACCCUGGUGUUCACAGCUCCAGUUGGCUAUGGAGAGGGCAUCGCUGGAUAGAACUGAGAUGGUGCUAGGCUCCUGAGGCUCUGCUGCCCAACCUGGCCUGCUCUGGCUGUUAGUUUCGCCGGACUGGAUGCCACAUGGACACAGGUCUGCGCAGUGUGGCCAGCAUCUGGUUCCAAUGUGUGGUGCCCAUGCCACUGACCCCUGGCCCAAUGAUGACAUGGCCCACGUUGUCCCCACGGCCGUCGCUGCUGCUCUCAGCCACUGUCACCCGGAGAGACAGGUCCUGGGGAGAAGGUGACAUGAAAGAUUGGGACCAGGAGCAGCUAAAGGAUUCUCCCGGCUCCAAGGCUCCAAGGCCCUGUGAGGUGCAUACAGCUCUUUGAAUCUUCCCAUCUGACUUGGGAGAAGAGACUUGUCCUAGUUACUUCUAGAUGGAUAAGCCAGUUAUGAUGUGACCUCACUAAGUGCUAAAAAGUGACAGUCCCAGCAGGAUUCAAAAUCCAUCUCUCACUUCUCUGUCCCUCGACACUUUUUUCUUUAAGAUUUAUUUUUGAGUUUGAAAAGAUGGGUCAGCAAUUAAAUGCACUUGCUGUUCUUGCAGAGAACCUUGGUUUGAGUCCCAGCAUCUACACACUGAUUCAGUCACCUGAGGAUAUCUGAACUCUCUCUGUGGGCAUCUGGCAUGCGUGUUAUGCACAUACAUACAUGCAAGCAAAAUGCUCAUACCCUUAAAAUAAUAAAAACCUUA